GACGGAAGGUGCAAGCGUUGCUCGGAAUCACUGGGCGUAAAGGGUGCGUAGGCGGCCGUGCAAGUCUGGCGUGAAAGCCCCGGGCUCAGCCCGGGAAGUGCGCUCGAAACUGCGCGGCUCGAGUGCCGGAGGGGAGAGUGGAAUUCCUGGUGUAGCGGUGAAAUGCGUAGAUAUCUGGAGGAACACCGGUGGCGAAGGCGGCCUGCUGGGGUCUGGCUGACGCUGAGGCGCGACAGCGUGGGGAGCAAACAGG
rnacentral:rRNA from 1 species